rnacentral:miRNA from 1 species
CAAAAACUGUGAUUGCUUUUGC